rnacentral:rRNA from 1 species
UACGAAGGGAGCUAGCGUUGUUCGGAAUCACUGGGCGUAAAGCGCACGUAGGCGGAUGUGUCAGUCAGGGGUGAAAUCCCGGAGCUCAACUCCAGAACUGCCUUUGAUACUGGCGAGCUUGAGUUCGGGAGAGGUGAGUGGAACUGCGAGUGUAGAGGUGAAAUUCGUAGAUAUUCGCAAGAACACCAGUGGCGAAGGCGGCUCACUGGCCCCGAUACUGACGCUGAGGUGCGAAAGCGUGGGGAGCAAACAGG